rnacentral:sRNA from 1 species
GAGGCGCCGUCUGGCUCGGGCUGGGGCCGGCGGGAGCGCGAACCAGCGACGGCGGAAUCCGUGGGCCUGUGGACUGCAGCCUCGGCGGCCAGCAGUUUUUCAAUUUCCAAGAUGGAAUAGUUAUAGUGCAUAUCUUCCUCAUGGUUGUGAGGAGUGCAUGACACAUAGCAAGUGCUCAGUGAACGGUCAUUUUUCUGAGUACUUGUGAUUUCACGUAUUUUUGCUGAACUCGUAAAAGAGACAUUUGGAUGGUGGAUUAACCAGAACACUAACAUUCUGUGAAAAGUUUCAAAUUGGAGAAUAUUGAAUUUUCACCCUAGUCCAGCAGCUCCGCUGCUCACUUAAAUACAGAUGAAUGAAGACCCCAUUCGGAAAGACACCUGGCCAGCGGUCCAGAGCUGAUGCAGGCCAUGCUGGAGUAUCUGCCAACAUGAUGAAGAAGAGGACAUCCCACAAAAAACAUCGGAGCAGUGUGGGUCCGAGCAAACCUGUUUCCCAGCCCCGGCGGAACAUCGUAGGCUGCAGGAUUCAGCAUGGGUGGAAAGAGGGGAAUGGCCCUGUUACCCAGUGGAAAGGAACCGUUCUGGACCAGGUGCCUG